UGGGGACUGACCUGGGACCUUCUGCAAGCCAAGCAGGAAAUUACAGCGCAAAAAACUAUUGCCAUUUUCCAGGUUGACAGAGUUGCAAACGGAUAUUUUGUGGGAGCAAUUAACACAGAAGUGAGCGCUAAACUUUCCAAAAGUGGCCUUUAUGCCACGUGAAAGAACACACAAGAUGUGAAAAGGCUCAGCACUGUCAAGUAUUCAGAGCAGUUUGUAUGCAGGCCCCGAAUGCAGUCUUCGCAAGCACCCUGUAAGACUUAGCCCUUGUAAAGAGGAGCUUGGGCAGUGAGCGUUUUUCCAUGUCUUCUGGCUCAGUGGAGUUCUUUAUCGGAAGCGCUGGGAACUUCUGUUUUCCAGAUU